rnacentral:rRNA from 1 species
GGCGAAAGCCUGACGGAGCAACGCCGCGUGAGGGACGAAGGCCUCUGGGCUGUAAACCUCUUUUCUCAAGGAAGAAGAUAUGACGGUACUUGAGGAAUAAGCCACGGCUAAUUCCGUGCCAGCAGCCGCGGUAAUACGGGAGUGGCAAGCGUUAUCCGGAAUUAUUGGGCGUAAAGCGUCCGCAGGCGGCUUUUCAAGUCUGCUGUUAAAGCGUGGAGCUUAACUCCAUCAUGGCAGUGGAAACUGAAAGGCUUGAGUAUGGUAGGGGCAGAGGGAAUUCCCGGUGUAGCGGUGAAAUGCGUAGAUAUCGGGAAGAACACCAGUGGCGAAGGCGCUCUGCUGGGCCAUUACUGACGCUCAUGGACGAAAGCCAGGGGAGCGAAAGGGAUUAGAUACCCCUGUAGUCCUGGCCGUAAACGAUGAACACUAGGUGUCGGGGGAAUCGACCCCUUCGGUGUCGUAGCUAACGCGUUAAGUGUUCCGCCUGGGGAGUACGCACGCAAGUGUGAAACUCAAAGGAAUUGACGG